UGGGGAAUCUUGGACAAUGGGCGCAAGCCUGAUCCAGCCAUGCCGCGUGGAUGAUGAAGGCCUUAGGGUUGUAAAAUCCUUUCGCCGAGGACGAUAAUGACGGUACUCGGAGAAGAAGCUCCGGCUAACUUCGUGCCAGCAGCCGCGGUAAUACGAAGGGGGCUAGCGUUGUUCGGAUUUACUGGGCGUAAAGCGCGUGUAGGCGGGUCGUUAAGUUGGGGGUGAAAUCCCGAGGCUCAACCUCGGAACUGCCUUCAAAACUGGCGACCUGGACCUAAGUAGAGGCAAGUGGAAUUGCGAGUGUAGAGGUGAAAUUCGUAGAUAUUCGCAGGAACACCAGUGGCGAAGGCGACUUGCUGGACUUAUGGUGACGCUGAGACGCGAAAGCGUGGGGAGCAAACAGGAUUAGAUACCCAUGUAGUCCCUGAGCGGGCUGGCAAGGCGCAU
rnacentral:rRNA from 1 species